UUGAUUCAAACCAUUGCAAUGUAGACAUCAGGAUUCCUGUGUUACUAUGGUAUCAGACUCAGAAAUCAAAUUCUGAGGGUACCGAUCCUAGCAUGUUUCUUCACCAUCACCACCAUUACUUCAUCUUCAACAAUCUCCAUUACCAUUGAUUCAUCAUCUUCUGCUGCUGCAACUGUAGAUCGACAUUUGAAGGUCGAUUUUAAUAAUUCAUCUCAGAUUUGAGGCUAAUUCGACUCAACGGUGCGUUUUAUCUACAUCUACAGCAACGAUCUGCUGUUCUUGAUUCCUGAUGUCGAGAUAGUCUGAGCGUGUUCUAGUUCGCUACACCAGUUAGGGCGAAAACUUAAAGUCGUUCCACUAAUUGGAUUCAGCAGAAGAUUGAGAAGUUGUUGGUCUCAUAUCUUACUUCAAGGCAGUCCUCACAUAUGUGUUGAAGAAUAUUGCGUUUUUUAAUGGUGUUUCUGCGAUUGAACAUUGAAUUGGAGUUGCUGAGUUACAUUAAGUACAAGUUGGAGUUCUUUUGUUGAGUUUGUAUACAUUCAGAUGCAACCUAGUUUUCAGCUUGCAUAUGUGUUCAAUGUGCAACCUGUGGUUCUUCUACUUUUCAUGCUCUUAGAAUAAUUCAGUUGAAGUUUCAACUUCAAUGGUGGUUUUUACUUUUGUUUCAUAUGUGAGUAAAUAAUUCAACCUGCUAUGGUCUUAUGGAGAAUAAUCAAAGAUUAAUAAUACAUUUGAAGACAAGUCAUGUUGGAGUACAACAUAGAUUGUUCAAUAAAUUGCUUCAGCUAUUGUGUGAAUUGAAUGAGACAGGGUCCAUCUGGCGGGAAGAUUGCUUGUGUUGCAGCUGUGCCCAAUACUUCACAUUUGACAACAGUGUGUGCUGCUGGAUGUUUAAAUGCUCAUAGGUUACAGUUUGAAUUGGUCCAAAUGACUUUUUAUGUGUUGAUGGAUGGAGCUGCAGUGCUUGAAUUUCAUAUUUCUACUGCAAUUUUCUGUUUACAAGGGUUAACUGUGCUGCAAGUGAUUGUGUGUGCAGCUGGUACACAAUUCUUUUUUUGGAUUUCGUCGUUACACAAUAUGGGUACUUUAAGUGCUUUCAGUAAACUGAUUCAACUGCUCUCUCAUGUCAUUAGUGUAUGUAAGCUGGUGGUGUUCAUAGUAUACUUCUUAUAUGAAUGGUA